rnacentral:pre_miRNA from 1 species
AAUAAGUGCAUUCGUGGAUAUCCGUGCCCAACGUUUGAUCGUCCGUCUUAUUUGAAAAAUUUGUGAAAAUAUUUAGUCACACAUAAAAUACUAUUCACAUUUUAUCAUAUAAUAGCAAUAAAAAUACUAAUCAUAAAAAAUUUUUAAAUAAGACGAACGGUCAAAUGUUGAACGUGAAUAGUGCAAAACUGCACUUAUU